rnacentral:rRNA from 1 species
AUACGGAGGAUGCGAGCGUUAUCCGGAUUUAUUGGGUUUAAAGGGAGCGUAGGUGGGAUAUUAAGUCAGCUGUGAAAGUUUGGGGCUCAACCUUAAAAUUGCAGUUGAUACUGGUUUCCUUGAGUACGGUACAGGUGGGCGGAAUUCGUGGUGUAGCGGUGAAAUGCUUAGAUAUCACGAAGAACUCCGAUCGCGAAGGCAGCUCACCGGGCCGGAACUGACACUGAUGCUCGAAAGUGCGGGUAUCAAACAGGAUUAGAUACCCUGGUAGUCCGCACAGUAAACGAUGAAUACUCGCUGUUUGCGAUACACUGUAAACGGCCAAGCGAAAGCGUUAAGUAUUCCACCUGGGGAGUACGCCGGCAACGGUGAAACUCAAAUGAAUUGACGGCG